rnacentral:misc_RNA from 1 species
CAAUCAAAUGCCGGGAGAAAAAAAAAAAAUCAACAUUUAAAGCCACCAAAUUAGAAUCAAAACUCCAAAAAUCCAACAAAUUCAAAACACAAAAUCCUCAGAUCUCUCCCCCUCUCUCUCCAAAAUCGCAAUUGCGUGGGACAUGUAACGACUUGAUUGAAGGCAAUUACUUCUAGAAGAUCGAGGCAAUAAUUAACAAAUGAAAGAUUCUUAUCCAAAAGCAAAACUGAAUCCAGAAAUUCAAACAGAAAAUUUUAUUAUAAUAAGAACG